AUGUUUGAGUAAUCGCUGCAUCAUUAUGAUGCAGAGGAAAGUCCAUGCUCGCACAGUCUGAGAUGGCUGUAGUGUUCGUGCCUGGCGAAGUCAUAAGCCAGGGUAGUCCGGUUUUUUACUGGGCUAACGGCAGGGAAAGCACCUAAGUCCUUAUGGAUAUGGGGCGAAUACCUUGAAAGUGCCACAGUGACGAAGUCUGGUUAGAAAUGGCCAGAGUGGAACGAGGUAAACCCCACGAGCGAGAAACCCAAAAUUUGGUAGGGGCAUCCCCAGGAAGGAAAUGAACGGAAUGGGGAACAGACAGAUGUCUGUAGACAGAUGAUUGCUGCCCGAGUCCGAGGUUUGACAGCCGCUUGCAGGACGACGGUACAGAACAUGGCUUACAAAA
rnacentral:RNase_P_RNA from 1 species